rnacentral:rRNA from 1 species
GAGGAAAAGAAACCAACAGGGAUUGCCUCAGUAACGGCGAGUGAAGCGGCAAAAGCUCAAAUUUGAAAUCUAGCACUUUCGGUGUUCGAGUUGUAAUUUGAAGAUGGUAACCUUGGGUUUGGCUCUGUCUAUGUUCCUUGGAACAGGACGUCAUAGAGGGUGAGAAUCCCGUCUGAUGAGAUGCCCAUUCCUAUGUAAGGUGCUAUCGAAGAGUCGAGUUGUUUGGGAAUGCAGCUCUAAGUGGGUGGUAAAUUCCAUCUAAAGCUAAAUAUUGGCGAGAGACCGAUAGCGAACAAGUACAGUGAUGGAAAGAUGAAAAGAACUUUGAAAAGAGAGUGAAAAAGUACGUGAAAUUGUUGAAAGGGAAGGGCAUUAGAUCAGACUUGGUGUUUUACGAUUAUCUUCUCUUCUUGAGUUGUGCACUCGUAUUUCACUGGGCCAGCAUCGAUUCGGAUGGCAAGAUAAUGGCAGUUGAAUGUGGCUUCACUUCGGUGGAGUGUUAUAGCUUCUGCUGAUAUUGCCUGUCUGGAUCGAGGGCUGCGUCUUUUGACUAGGAUGCUGGCGUAAUGAUCUAAUGCCGCCCGUCUUGAAACACGGACCAAGGAGUCUAACGUCUAUGCGAGUGUUUGGGUGUAAAACCCGUACGCGUAAUGAAAGUGAACGUAGGUGAGAGCUCUUUUUUGAGUGCAUCAUCGACCGAUCCUGAUGUUUUCGGAUGGAUUUGAGUAAGAGCAUAGCUGUUGGGACCCGAAAGAUGGUGAACUAUGCCUGAAUAGGGUGAAGCCAGAGGAAACUCUGGUGGAGGCUCGUAGCGGUUCUGACGUGCAAAUCGAUCGUCGAAUUUGGGUAUAGGGGCGAAAG